CCCUAGUACACGUGGUUCAGGGGGUCGGUGGUAGGGUGGUGUAAACCAUUGGUUUUCGACCGCUACGACCCGGGUUCGAUUCCCGCAUUGGGCA